UACGUAGGGGGCAAGCGUUGUCCGGAUUUAUUGGGCGUAAAGAGCGUGUAGGCGGCCAGGUAGGUCUGCUGUGAAAACUCGAGGCUUAACCUCGAGCUGUCGGCGGAAACCAUCUGGCUAGAGUCCGGAAGAGGAGAAUGGAAUUCCCGGUGUAGCGGUGAAAUGCGCAGAUAUCGGGAAGAACACCCGUGGCGAAGGCGGUUCUCUGGGACGGUACUGACGCUGAGACGCGAAAGCGUGGGGAGCGAACAGGAUUAGAUACCCUGGUAGUCCACGCCGUAAACGAUGAGUGCUAGGUGUGGGGGGUGUCGACUCCCUCCGUGCCGCAGCUAACGCAUUAAGCACUCCGCCUGGGGAGUACGGCCGCAAGGCUAAA
rnacentral:rRNA from 1 species